rnacentral:rRNA from 1 species
UGGGGAAUUUUGGACAAUGGGGGAAACCCUGAUCCAGCCAUCCCGCGUGUGCGAUGAAGGCCUUCGGGUUGUAAAGCACUUUUGGCAGGAAAGAAACGUCAUGGGUUAAUACCCCGUGAAACUGACGGUACCUGCAGAAUAAGCACCGGCUAACUACGUGCCAGCAGCCGCGGUAAUACGUAGGGUGCAAGCGUUAAUCGGAAUUACUGGGCGUAAAGCGUGCGCAGGCGGUUCGGAAAGAAAGAUGUGAAAUCCCAGAGCUCAACUUUGGGACUGCAUUUUUAACUACCGGGCUAGAGUGUGUCAGAGGGAGGUGGAAUUCCGCGUGUAGCAGUGAAAUGCGUAGAUAUGCGGAGGAACACCGAUGGCGAAGGCAGCCUCCUGGGAUAACACUGACGCUCAUGCACGAAAGCGUGGGGAGCAAACAGG